AACUCUUCCUAAUCAUACACACCUGAUUGAACUCAUCAGCUUGUUCAUAGAGACUCUGAGACCAAAAAUAGAUAAGUCAGAUAAAGAAGACAUCCAAACUAGGUUUGGAACAGGGUUGGAAAACACUGGUUUAAGAUCAAAGCCUCAUGAUCUGUCUUCCUUGUGGGUUUUCAACCAUCUAACCAACCUUUUUAGCUGAUCUGAGAGCUUCUUAACUUUUCAGCUAUGAAUCCUGUCAGCUAAAAUGGUUGGCAAUAAAUGUAGUCUACCCUAUACUUGGAAAGUAAAGAGGACAGCCUUUGAUGAAAUAAGUGGGAACAUCGCCUCUGCAAAAGAAUUGAGUGGAAAGGUGGGACUAAAUGGAAGAAAAAAAAUGUCUGGCGGUUUUUCAACUUGUCAGUCAUGAGGGGACCCAGUGGACACCUUGUUGAUUGACCAUAGA